rnacentral:piRNA from 1 species
UGUGCAAACCUCGGGGUGG